rnacentral:tRNA from 1 species
GCUCAAGUGGCGGAAUUGGUAGACGCGCCGGAUUCAAAAUCCGGUUUCUUCGGAAGUAUGGGUUCGAUUCCCAUCUUGAGUACAA